rnacentral:rRNA from 1 species
GCAUCGAUGAAGAACGCAGCAAAGUGCGAUAAUUUGGGUGAACCGCAACUGGCGCGACUCCUUGAAACUUUGAACGCAAACUGUGCCCCGGCGUAACGGCCGGGGCGUGUUUGUUUGAGCGUCGCAUACAAAUACCUGCCGCCUCGCGCGCGCAACGAUGGGCUUUGCAAUUCGUUUUGCAUCGCUUCAAAUUCAUUUUCCCGUCGCACGGUGUAACCUGCAUCAGGCCGGCUGUCGUUGGGGGGCGUGACCGCUUCAUUUCGCAGACUGUCUUUUCGCAACUUCCGGCGGCGGGGGUUUUUUCACUAAUUUCUCGACCUCAAAUCAAGCACGAUUACCCGCUGAAUUUAAGCAUAUCAAUAAGCGGAGGA